GACGAACGCUGGCGGCGUGCCUAAUACAUGCAAGUCGAACGCAGUGGGGACGGGUGAGUAACACGUGGGUAACCUCCCAUCAGAGGGGAUAACACUUGGAAACAGGUGCUAAACCGAUAUUUAUUUAUGUACCCUCUGUGCAUUAGCUAGUUGGUGAGGUAACGGCUCACAAAGGCCACGAUGCAUAGCCGAGCUGAGAGGGUGAUCGGCCACACUGGGACUGAGACACGGGCCAGACUCCUACGGGAGGCAGCAGUAGGGAAUCUUCGGCAAUGGACGAAAGUCUGACCGAGCAACGCCGCGUGAGUGAAGAAGGUUUUCGGAUCGUAAAACUCUGUUGUUAGAGAAGCGGUAAAAAAAGAGAAAGCCACGGCUGACUACGUGCCAGCAGCCGCGGUAAUAG
rnacentral:rRNA from 1 species